UUGCGGUUAAAAAGCUCGUAGUUGGAUUUCUGUUGAGGAUGACCGGUCCGCUCUUUGAGCGCGUAUCUGGUUCAGCCUUGGCAUCCUCUUGGGGAACGCUACUGUGCUUGAUUGCAUGGGGCGGUAUUCAAGACUUUUACUUUGAGGAAAUUAGAGUGUUCACUGCAAGCGUUAGCAAUUGAAUACAUUAGCAUGGAAUAAUAAUAUAGGACCUUGGUACUAUUUUGUUGGUUUCUAGAACUAAGGUAAUGAUUAAUAGGGACAAUUGGGGGCAUUCGUAUUAACGCGUCAGAGGUGGAAUUCUUAGAUUGCGUUACGACGAACUACUGCGAAAGCAUUUGCCAAGGAUGUUUUCAUUGAUCAAGAACGAAAGUAUGGGGAUCGAAGACGCUUAGAUACCGUCGUAGUCUAUACCAUAAACUAUGCCAACUAGAGAUUGGAGGUCGUUCUCUUUAUGACUCCUUCAGCACCUUAUGAGAAAUCAAAGUCUUUGGGUUCCGGGGGGAGUAUGGU
rnacentral:rRNA from 1 species